ensembl:miRNA
UUGAUGUGAACCGAGAGAACUUGUCGUCGAGGCUAGAGUCACGCUUGGGUAUCAGCUAUUGCCUUAGUGUGCUAGAGUCCUCGAAGAGUAACUGCUGACCUUAUUCACUGGCU